rnacentral:piRNA from 1 species
UGACGUGCUGAUGACCAAAUUAGAUGGGU